rnacentral:rRNA from 1 species
AACGAACGCUGGCGGCAGGCUUAACACAUGCAAGUCGAACGCACCUUCCGGGGUGAGUGGCAGACGGGUGAGUAACGCGUGGGAAUCUACCCUUCUCUACGGGAUAGCUCCGGGAAACUGGAAUUAAUACCGUAUACGUUCUGAGGGAGAAAGAUUUAUGGGGGAAGGAUGAGCCCUCGUUGGAUUAGCUGGUUGGUGGGGUAAAGGCCUACCAAGGCGACGAUCCAUAGCUGGUAAAAGAGGAUGCUCAGCGACUUUGGGAUUGGGACACGGCCGAGAAUCCUACGGGAGGGGGCAGUGGGGGAUAUAGGAAAAGGGGGGCAGGGCUGAUGCAGCCAUGGCGGGUAAGUGAUGAAGGCCGUAGGGUAGUAAAGCUCUUUCAGAGGGGACGAUAAUGACGGUACCCACAGAAGAAGCCCCGGCUAACUACGUG